rnacentral:rRNA from 1 species
GACGAACGCUGGCGGCGUGCCUAAUACAUGCAAGUCGAACGCAGUGGGGACGGGUGAGUAACACGUGGGUAACCUCCCAUCAGAGGGGAUAACACUUGGAAACAGGUGCUAAACCGCUACUGAUGGAUGGACCCGCGGGGCAUUAGCUAGUUGGUGGGGUAACGGCCCAGCAAGGCCACGAUGCAUAGCCGGCCUGAGAGGGUGAGCGGCCACACGGGAACUGAGAGACGGCCCAGACGCCUAGGGGAGGCAGCGGUAGGGAAGUGUCGGCAAUGGACGAAAGUCUGACCGAGCAACGCCGCGUGAGUGAAGAAGGUUUGCGGAUCGUAAAGCUCUGUUGUUAGAGAAGCGGUAUCUAACCAGAAAGCCACGGCUAACUACGUGUCAGCAGCCGCGGUAAUAC